UUCUUGUCACAUAGCUUUCAAAUUAAGUUUUGUGUUAUGUGAUUUUGUGCAGCAUUUUUCUCCUCCAAGAUAACAAGCAGAGAGCAGGCUCUCAUCUAGAUUAUAAUGAGCCACAAUAGAGCUCACAGUUAUUGAUGAUAAACACCCCACGUGUUCCCGUCAUCUUAAGUUUCAUCUUCAUUUUGACUCAAAGCUGUUAGGCUGGUUGACAAACGGAUGGGUAGAUAAUGUCAUAAAUCUACUGCAUUUUUUUCUACCCUAAAAGACAAAGAGUUUGAUGACGGAGAUGCCAUGGGAGGAAUUUGGGGUUUGGUGUCUUCAACAUCAAACUAGCAACCCUACGUUUAAUGGUUUUACCUCCUGAGCCACAGCUGUUCCAAGUUCAUCGAUUUGACACUUGGUUUUGUGGUUAACUGUUUUUUUUCUUUCGUUUUUAUAUGUAGUUCAUUCUAUUAACUUUAUUUUUUGUGCUUUUGAAUGCACAUUGAGUUAACUUGCAAUGAAAUGUUAAUAGAAACUAUAUUACUCUGCCAUAACCCCCUUUAAACAAUAUUUUGAGAUACCUUUAAUAUUGAGACAAAAUGUGAAAAACAUUUUUAAAAAGUCUGUGUGCAGUACUUCCUCUUACUGUGGGUGUUUGUUGUUUUUCUGUGUGUUUCAGAGGCAGCUGCUUGGCAUUGAAGCCCCGGCUUCUGUGGAACUGACUGGGUGGAGGAAAUACUUUAAUAGCUACACUCUGCAGGGUCGCAGAAAUUGUGUGUUAGCUACAUAUGGGAUCCUUGCUGUAACCGCAGCUGCCUACUGGAUGCACAGACAAAACAAAAAAGAAAACCAGACGUCCAACUCCACAGCCUGAAAUAUCAACCUCGUACAGUGAUGUAUUCACUAAUGAUUAAUUAUGAAGUGAAGAAAUCGAAGGAAAUGUUGUGACACUACAUCUGAAUGUGAGAAAGUUUGAAAUUGUUAAUAAAAUAAAAUUGCUGUCUGAUCAUCAUGCAGUGAUAUUAUGAGAAAUCACA